GACGAACGCUGGCGGCGGGCUUAACACAUGCAAGUCGAACGGAAAGGCCCUGCUUUUGUGGGGUGCUCGAGUGGCGAACGGGUGAGUAACACGUGAGUAACCUGCCCUUGACUUUGGGAUAACUUCAGGAAACUGGGGCUAAUACCGGAUAGGAGCUCCUGCUGCAUGGUGGGGGUGGGAAAGUUUCGGCGGUUGGGGAUGGACUGGCGGCUUAUCAGCUUGUUGGUGGGGUAGUGGCUUACCAAGGCUUUGACGGGUAGCCGGCCUGAGAGGGUGACCGGCCACAUUGGGACUGAGAUACGGCCCAGACUCCUACGGGAGGCAGCAGUGGGGAAUAUUGCACAAUGGGCGGAAGCCUGAUGCAGCAACGCCGCGUGCGGGAUGACGGCCUUCGGGUUGUAAACCGCUUUCGCCUGUGACGAAGCGUGAGUGACGGUAAUGGGUAAAGAAGCACCGGCUAACUACGUG
rnacentral:rRNA from 1 species